GAUGAACGCUGGCGGCGUGCCUAAUACAUGCAAGUCGAGCGAACAGACGAGGAGCUUGCUCCUCUGACGUUAGCGGCGGACGGGUGAGUAACACGUGGAUAACCUACCUAUAAGACUGGGAUAACUUCGGGAAACCGGAGCUAAUACCGGAUAAUAUAUUGAACCGCAUGGUUCAAUAGUGAAAGACGGUUUUGCUGUCACUUAUAGAUGGAUCCGCGCCGCAUUAGCUAGUUGGUAAGGUAACGGCUUACCAAGGCAACGAUGCGUAGCCGACCUGAGAGGGGGAUCGCCACCUGGGGAGAGGGGAAGCGCCCCAGCUCCCUGAGGGGGGCACCGGUCGGAAUUCUUCGGGAGGGGGCGAAAGGGAAGCGGAGAAACGCGGGGUGAGUGAUAAAGUGCUAUGGCUCGUAAACCUUUUUUGUUUGGGAAAAAAAAAUGUCUAUGAACUUGGGACAUUUUUACGGGACCAUAAGAAGAAACCCCGGCUAACUUCGUG
rnacentral:rRNA from 1 species